rnacentral:rRNA from 1 species
GACGAACGCUGGCGGCGUGCUUAACACAUGCCAGUCGAACGGAAAGGCCCAGCUUGCUGGGUGCUCGAGUGGCGAACGGGCGAGUAACACGUGGGUGAUCUGCCUCUAACUUCGGGAUAAGCUUGGGAAACUGGGUCUAAUACCGGAUAGGACAAUCGUUUAGUGUCGGUGGGGGAAAGUUUUUUCGGUUAGGGAUGAGCCCGCGGCCCAUCAGCUUGUUGGUGGGGUAAUGGCCUACCAAGGCGUCGACGGGUAGCCGGCCUGAGAGGGUGGACGGCCACAUUGGGCCUGAGAGACGGCCCAGACUCCUACGGGAGGCAGCAGUGGGGAGUAUUGCACAAUGGGCGCAAGCCUGAUGCAGCGACGCCGCGUGGGGGAUGACGGCCUUCGGGUUGUAAACCUCUUUCGACAGGGACGAAGCUUUGGUGACGGUACCUGUAGAAGAAGCACCGGCUAACUACGUG